CGGCGAUAGAGAAGCAGGGACGAAGAAAAGGGGAUAGAUCUACCCUCUCCUUCAGCGAUGACAGUCGUUUUCUUACCCGAAGUUGCAGGAAAAAAAAUGUAAUAGAGAGGCCUCAGAUGAUCAUCUUCCAUUAAUAGAAGAAGCCAGCAUGAUGUCAGCUGUUAGGGGAGCGGUGUACAACGAAAGGUCUAGAGCGAUGUGAUAUGUAUGAAGCUACAAAUACUUCAUUGAAAUAAGAUCUGUGUCGUUGGUUGUGAUGUAUUGUGCAUUUUUGGGAACUAUUAAGGUUUAUCUGAGUUAUGUUUGCAAUGACUGUAGAUGUGAACAUUGAAAUAUAUCUGAAGGGAUGUAAUGUUGAUAUUAAGACAUAUUUAUGUGUAAUUAUUUUUGUUGAUAUUGUUAUGAAUGAUUUAUUUUGGAGAU